rnacentral:rRNA from 1 species
AGCUCCAAUAGCGUAUAUUAAAGUUGUUGCAGUUAAAAAGCUCGUAGUUGGAUUUGUGGCAUUGUCUGUCCUUUCCUUGGCUCUGCCUUGGUAUGGGUACGGACAUGCCUUUUUUGGUUGGAACCUGUGUGGCAUUAGGUUGUCGUGCAGGGGAUGGCCAUCGUUUACUGUGAAAAAAUUAGAGUGUUCAAAGCAGGCUUAUGCCGUUGAAUAUAUUAGCAUGGAAUAAUGAUAUAGGACCUUGGUACUAUUUUGUUGGUUUGCGCACUGAGGUAAUGAUUAAUAGGGACAGUUGGGGGUAUUCGUAUUCCAUUGUCAGAGGUGAAAUUCUUGGAUUUUUGGAAGACGAACUACUGCGAAAGCAUUUACCAAGGAUGUUUUCAUUAAUCAAGAACGAAAG